rnacentral:rRNA from 1 species
UUUGAAAAGUAGAUAAACAAAGUCUCUAAUGACGCACCAAUGAAGGAAAUAAGGGCGUACA